GAAAAUAUUUAGUUUCCUAGUUUGUUAUUUCUAGGAGAUUCUAAGCUUAUCUAUUAUUUCCUUUUAUUUUUGUACUCUUCCUAUUUAAACCAGCCUUGAGCUGAGGAAUAACAUAUAACAGUAUUCACUUAUUAUUUUAUACAUGGUAUCGAGAGCUCUUGGUUUUGGGGGUCUCGCUUCCGCAAAACCCUAGCCGCCGUCGUGUUUACGGUCUGAUCACGACAACUGAUUUUGUGUGCGGCACUGUUCAUACGCUAUUGUUCAUUCGGCAACACUGUUUCAUCAACGAUACUGUUCACGUUCGUACUGUUCACCAGAAAUACUAUUCACACACACUGUUCAUGUACACUGUUCACCGGCGUUACUUUUUC
rnacentral:lncRNA from 1 species